CUUGCAGAUCUGCGUACACACUCCCAGCACUGGGGGAUGUACCGGGUCCCAGAAAUAUGCGCCGGAGGAAGCCAUGGAGAAAAAAAAAAAACAACAGGAACAACCCAUCCACAGAGUGAACAUCCUGAGGAUAAUUUACCCUCUUUUCCUUCUCUUGUUAACUGUAUCAUGGGCUGCUCUUAGCAAAUUUCUCACGCUGAGGUUGUCUCAGUGAGCGGAGUGCGAGGCUGAGGUUUGGUCAAACAGGAGGGAUGUGCUGUUUGCUGUUCAGCUUUUGUUAUGAACUUUGGCUGCUGAAGAGAUCUCGUGGAAGCAGAUUUCCAAGCAAAUCUAAAACAGCAUAGUCUCCUGGUCUGGGUGCUUUCUGCUCCGGGGUAUGGAUCCUGAUCCAUGUUAGCAGAGGAAGCAUCAGAUUGCAAAAAGUUGAGGGGAAAGAAAAAUCUGGCUCGUAGACAUCCUCAUUCAUGGUCAUGUAAAACAGGAGCAAGUCCAGUGAARCUGUUGGAAAUACUGCCUUGUAAAUGCAGGUUUGGUAAGAGGAGCAAGUCGCCCUUUGGAGAAAUCCCAACAGCAGGCUCGUGACACCUAGGAGAUGUGUCCUCAACUGGGGGAGGGAAGGGAAAACAAUCACAGGAGUCCCUCGUUUCUCCACGAGCAGCUGCAGCUGCAAUGUGAUCACCUUGGUGUAGCAGGAAAAAGACCUAAAGCUGUUUGCAUGUUUUCCGCCUCCGCGCUGUCAGCUCUGUCCCGCUGACUGACAAGCGGUGGGAAGGGCUCCUGUGCUUGGAUCUGCGGGUGGCCACUGCCACGUGCUGGUUUGGACUCUUUGGACAAACCUUAACAAAUGCACCUGGAAGAUGCAGUCUUUCCUACCUCAGUGCUAAGUGACUGCAGGACAAAAGGCCAUUCAUCACGCUCUAAACUGCUGCAAAGAGCUCCCGUGUUCCACCAGAGAAGUGGCUGCRUUUGAAUCGAAGCAAGAAAGUUUUUUCCCCGUGAGCUGGGCUGCUCCAGAGAGUAAUGGAGCUUGCUGCUAUUUUAGGAUCCUUCUGGGUGAGACAUAGGGGCAAGAACAUUGUCACGUGCUGAUCACUCUCCAGCAAAUUUGGGCAAGCAGUACAUUCAGCAAAAUAGCUUCCUUCCAGCCUCUCCUGGCUUUUCCUUCACCUCAAGGACAUGCUUUGCUUUGCAAAGUGCCAUCGGAGCUCAAAGGAUCUUGCUAGAGCAGAGGGAGCCAGAUUCUCCUUGCUGCAAACUUUCCAUUUUGGCAAAACCUACAGGCAAGCAGUAGGGCUGCAUCCUGCUGAGCAGGACUUGAAGACUUUGGGCUUCAUGCCCCAGAGGACUCUGCUUCCCUCCUCCCUGGAUCUCCCAAUAGCCAGGAAAGAAACAUUUGCACCCUUUCCUUCCCUUCCUAACGGGGAGAGGGGUCGCACCUAUCUAGUGGAGCCCAGAAUUCAGGAAAAGCAAUCUAGCAACAAAACAACAGAGCGUCACUACCCGAUUUCACUCUUUGCAGCAGCUCUCUGUCUUUCAAAGCAGAGCAAGGCCUCCCUGGUGCCAGUAACUGCAGCCUCAAGGAUCAGAAGAGGCCAUAGGAGGAGAGAGCAGCUACG